UACGGAGGGUGCAAGCGUUAUCCGGAUUCACUGGGUUUAAAGGGUGCGUAGGUGGGUAAGUAAGUCAGUGGUGAAAUCUCCGGGCUUAACCCGGAAACUGCCAUUGAUACUAUUUGUCUUGAAUACUGUGGAGGUCAGCGGAAUAUGUCAUGUAGCGGUGAAAUGCUUAGAUAUGACAUAGAACACCAAUUGCGAAGGCAGUUGGC
rnacentral:rRNA from 1 species